rnacentral:rRNA from 1 species
AGUGAACGCUGGCGGUAGGCCUAACACAUGCAAGUCGAACGGCAGCACAGUAAGAGCUUGCUCUUACGGGUGGCGAGUGGCGGACGGGUGAGGAAUACAUCGGAAUCUACUUUUUCGUGGGGGAUAACGUAGGGAAACUUACGCUAAUACCGCAUACGACCUACGGGUGAAAGCAGGGGAUCUUCGGACCUUGCGCGAUUGAAUGAGCCGAUGUCGGAUUAGCUAGUUGGCGGGGUAAAGGCCCACCAAGGCGACGAUCCGUAGCAGGUCUGAGAGGAUGAUCAGCCACACUGGAACUGAGACACGGUCCAGACUCCUACGGGAGGCAGCAGUGGGGAAUAUUGGACAAUGGGCGCAAGCCUGAUCCAGCCAUACCGCGUGGGUGAAGAAGGCCUUAGGGUUGUAAAGCCCUUUUGUUGGGAAAGAAAAGCAGCAGGUUAAUACCCCGCUGUUCUGACGGUACCCAAAGAAUAAGCACCGGCUAACUUCGUG